ACGACUUCCGUUAAUUGAUUAUGACGUGCUUGCACUGAAUGAGAUUUUAACACGAAGUGAGUGGCGGACGGGUGAGUAACACGUGGGUAACCUGCCCAGAAGCAGGGGAUAACACCUGGAAACAGAUGCUAAUACCGUAUAACAGAGAAAACCGCCUGGUUUUCUUUUAAAAGAUGGCUCUGCUAUCACUUCUGGAUGGACCCGCGGCGCAUUAGCUAGUUGGUGAGGUAACGGCUCACCAAGGCGAUGAUGCGUAGCCGACCUGAGAGGGUAAUCGGCCACAUUGGGACUGAGACACGGCCCAGACUCCUACGGGAGGCAGCAGUAGGGAAUCUUCCACAAUGGACGCAAGUCUGAUGGAGCAACGCCGCGUGAGUGAAGAAGGGUUUCGGCUCGUAAAGCUCUGUUGUUAAAGAAGAACGUGGGUGAGAGUAACUGUUCACCCAGUGACGGUAUUUAACCAGAAAGCCACGGCUAACUACGUGCCAGCAGCCGCGGUAAUACGUAGGUGGCAAGCGUUAUCCGGAUUUAUUGGGCGUAAAGCGAGCGCAGGCGGUCUUUUAAGUCUAAUGUGAAAGCCUUCGGCUCAACCGAAGAAGUGCAUUGGAAACUGGGAGACUUGAGUGCAGAAGAGGACAGUGGAACUCCAUGUGUAGCGGUGAAAUGCGUAGAUAUAUGGAAGAACACCAGUGGCGAAGGCGGCUGUCUGGUCUGUAACUGACGCUGAGGCUCGAAAGCAUGGGUAGCGAACAGGAUUAGAUACCCUGGUAGUCCAUGCCGUAAACGAUGAUUACUAAGUGUUGGAGGGUUUCCGCCCUUCAGUGCUGCAGCUAACGCAUUAAGUAAUCCGCCUGGGGAGUACGACCGCAAGGUUGAAACUCAAAAGAAUUGACGGGGGCCCGCACAAGCGGUGGAGCAUGUGGUUUAAUUCGAAGCUACGCGAAGAACCUUACCAGGUCUUGACAUCUUCUGCCAACCUAAGAGAUUAGGCGUUCCCUUCGGGGACAGAAUGACAGGUGGUGCAUGGUUGUCGUCAGCUCGUGUCGUGAGAUGUUGGGUUAAGUCCCGCAACGAGCGCAACCCUUAUUACUAGUUGCCAGCAUUCAGUUGGGCACUCUAGUGAGACUGCCGGUGACAAACCGGAGGAAGGUGGGGACGACGUCAAAUCAUCAUGCCCCUUAUGACCUGGGCUACACACGUGCUACAAUGGAUGGUACAACGAGUCGCGAAACCGCGAGGUUUAGCUAAUCUCUUAAAACCAUUCUCAGUUCGGACUGUAGGCUGCAACUCGCCUACACGAAGUCGGAAUCGCUAGUAAUCGCGGAUCAGCAUGCCGCGGUGAAUACGUUCCCGGGCCUUGUACACACCGCCCGUCACACCAUGAGAGUUUGUAACACCCAAAGCCGGUGG
rnacentral:rRNA from 1 species